AUUGAACGCUGGCGGCAUGCCUUACACAUGCAAGUCGAACAGCAGCACGGGGCAACCUGGUGGCGAGUGGCGAACGGGUGAGUAAUGCAUCGGAACGUACCUUUCAGUGGGGGAUAACGUAGCGAAAGUUACGCUAAUACCGCAUAUUCUGUGAGAAGGAAAGCAGGGGAUCGCAAGACCUUGCGCUGAUUGAGCGGCCGAUGUCAGGUUAGCUAGUUGGUGAGGUAAGGGCUCACCAAGGCGACGAUCUGUAGCGGGUCUGAGAGAAUGAUCCGCCACACUGGAACUGAUACACGGUCCAGACUCCUACGGGAGGCAGCAGUUGGGAAUUUUGGACAAUGGGGGCAACCCUGAUCCAGCCAUGCCGCGUGAGUGAAGAAGGCCUUCGGGUUGUAAAGCUCUUUCGGCCGGGAAGAAAUCGCAUGGGUUAAUACCCUGUGUGGAUGACGGUACCGGAAUAAGAAGCACCGGCUAACUACGUGCCAGCAGCCGCCGCGGUAA
rnacentral:rRNA from 1 species